rnacentral:ncRNA from 1 species
AAAAAGGUUCAGGGCGGGGCGGAAUUCCCCAUCGGCGGUAAAGCGGCGGCAGCAGCCGAUCAGUCCGCAAGCGGCAGUCAGCCGCAGAUUUCGGUCCGUUUCCAAAGCCGACGUUAAAUUCCGGAUGAAAGAAGA